rnacentral:rRNA from 1 species
CCCUUAGAUGUUCUGGGCUGCACGCGCACUACACUGAUGCGUUCAACGAGUUUAUGACCUUGCCCGAUAGGGUUGGGUAAUCUUUUUAAAUCGCAUCGUGAUGGGGAUAGAUUAUUGCAAUUAUUAAUCUUCAACGAGGAAUUCCUAGUAAGCGCGAGUCAUCAGCUCGUGCUGAUUACGUCCCUGCCCUUUGUACACACCGCCCGCCGCUCCUACCGAUUGAGUGAUCCGGUGAAUAAUUCGGACUGCAGCAGUGUUCAGUUCCUGAACGUUGCAGCGGAAAGUUUAGUGAACCUUAUCACUUAGAGGAAGGAGAANUCGUAACA